rnacentral:rRNA from 1 species
CGCUGGCGGCAUGCCUAACACAUGCAAGUCGAACGAAGCGGUGUGGAAUGAGACUUCGGUUGAAUGAAACAUUGACUUAGUGGCGAACGGGUGAGUAACGCGUGAGGAACCUGCCUUUCAGUGGGGGACAACAGUUGGAAACGACUGCUAAUACCGCAUAACAUAUCGAGACCGCAUGGUUUUGAUAUCAAAGCUUUAUGUGCUGAAAGAUGGCCUCGCGUCUGAUUAGCUAGUUGGUGGGGUAACGGCCUACCAAGGCGACGAUCAGUAGCCGAGCUGAGAGGCUCAACGGCCACAUUGGGACUGAGAUACGGCCCAGACUCCUACGGGAGGCAGCAGUCGGGAAUAUUGCGCAAUGGAGGAAACUCUGACGCAGUGACGCCGCGUAUAGGAAGAAGGUUUUCGGAUUGUAAACUAUUGUCAUUAGGGAAGAACAAAGACAGUACCUAAGGAGGAAGCCCCGGCUAACUAUGUG